rnacentral:lncRNA from 1 species
AUGUCUGACAAACCCAAGGUGUACCAGGGUGUGCGAGUGAAGGCGCCCGUUAAAGAGCUACUACAGAAGCAGAGGGCCCGCCAGGCUGCCAUUAAAAACGCAACGAUAUCACAGAGCUUUACGAUUCCAGACGUUUGUUCCACCCUGGCUGUAACGGCCCAUCACUUUGACGUGUGUUCGGCGAGCCCGGUGGCGGACGCCGCUCCGCUGCCACCUCCUUAUAGCGACAUCAUCCCCAUGGAGACGAGUCCGUUUGACAGCCCGCAGCCGAUGAACGUGAUGCUGCCUACAGACAGCUUCACCAGCGUUCUGCCUCCGGAUUCCUCCACUCAGCACUGGUCCCAGGGACAUUAUAUAUCCAAUUCUGACUAUUACUACAAUGCCAUGGCUCCCAGUUCGUCCCCCGACUCCCUGUCGCUGAGCCUCUCGAGCCCAGUCGAUUACAACAGCUACUCGCCCCACGACAGCUACUCUUCCUCCUCCUCCUCGUGCUACAGCUCUCCCACAAGACUAGACUCGGCUUUCGGCUUUGCGCAGGAGAACUACCACUUCCAGCACUGCAACCUGCAACACUGCCACUCCGGCACCCUGUCCAGCUGGACUGGCCCCCAGGACGCCGGCGCCUCGAACCCAGAGUACGCGCCCUACUACCAGUCGGACUGUUUGUACACACCCGUGGAGCAGAACUACUUCAGGAGGGAUGUGAGCAGCGCGGACAUGUGCUACCUUUAAAACUCUUUUCCCUAACUAACAUGAUCAUGAUGAUCGCUUCCCGCCCUGCCUGCAAACGGUUUUGUAUUCGCAGUUAUUUCGUUCGUCGUGUAACCAAUUUUUACCCGUCUCUUACGUUUUGCCGCUGUUUGUUUUGAUUUAUCUUUCUGGGAGCGUCCUGACUCAGACUGUCCCAAGGUUGGGUCCACCGAUGAACAAUCGAAUCACACCCACGCCAGGGUGGAGACGUCGUAGGCGAUAGAAUAACUAUAAGUAUGUCUCUGCGUUUGUGGACACGUUGCUGAACAAUGAAUGACGAAGUUAUACACGUUUGGUAUAAUUCCGUUUUUUUAUAAUAAAGAAUUCUGCCUUUAUUCUACA